ACUCAGGUGGCUCAGAUGGUAAGGCGUCUGCCUGCGAUGCAGGAGACCCAGGUUCGAUUCCUGGGUUGGGAA
rnacentral:tRNA from 1 species